rnacentral:rRNA from 1 species
GGAGUUUACUUUGUGUUGCAAGCUUAAGACAGUGAAUGUACGAAGGCGGAGCGAAAGCGAGUCUGAAUAGGGACGUAUAAGUAGCACGGAGUAACCCGAAGCCAGGUGAUCUACCCAUGAGCAGGUUGAAAGUGGAGUAAUAUCUACCGGAGGACCGAACCCAUGAACGUUGAAAAGUUUUGGGAUGACUUGUGGAUAGGGGUGAAAGGCCAAUCAAACCUGGCAAUAGCUGGUUCUCCUCGAAAUAGCUUUUAGGGCUAGCGUCAUUUGUUUAGUUACAGGGGUAGAGCUACCGACAGGGCUAGGGGACCUACAAGUCUACCAACCCCCUAUCAAACUCCGAAUACUGUAACUUAAAAGAAUGGCAGUCAGACUACGGGAGAUAAGUUUCGUGGUCGAAAGGGAAACAGCCCAGACCGUCGUCUAAGGUCCCUAAAUUUGCACUAAGUGGCAAAGGAUGUGGGGGUGCAUAUACAACCAGGAGGUUGGCUUAGAAGCAGCCACCCUUUAAAGAGUGCGUAAUAGCUCACUGGUCGAGUGCCCUUGCGCCGAAAAUGUAACCGGGAA